UACAGAGGUCUCAAGCGUUGUUCGGAUUCAUUGGGCGUAAAGGGUGUGUAGGUGGCGCGCUAAGUCGGGUGUGAAAUUUCGGAGCUUAACUCCGAAACUGCAUUCGAUACUGGCGUGCUUGAGGACUGGAGAGGAGACUGGAAUUCAUGGUGUAGCAGUGAAAUGCGUGAGAGAUCAUGAGGAAGACCAGUGGCGAAGGCGGGUCUCUGGACAGUUCCUGACACUGAGACACGAAGGCCAGGGGAGCAAACGGG
rnacentral:rRNA from 1 species